rnacentral:lncRNA from 1 species
CUCUCUCACAUAUUACUCUCGUUAGCCGGACGUAACAAAGACCCCAUCGACGUUGCGCAUACUAAAUAUUGUCAGUGCAUGCACUAUCAAUGCAAAUCGUACAUGUUGCUGCUCAGUCGCCAGUGUCAAGGUGCUUUGUAUAGACCACCCUCCGACGAAUCCUCCUCUGUCACCUCAACCACAGUGUCUAAUCGAGUAGUAUCAGCACUGAAAACAACUAAAUCCUGGAACUGAGCGCAACUCCACGAUCCAGAUGGAUUACCAUCUGUCCAUCUUCUCUCCUGCUAGAAAUUCCAGAAAAUUUGUGCAGGAUUGUUAGAGAGAGAUGCAAUCCAGUUAAUGCAGACCGUUGAUGUGUCCAUUAAUGGUAAGCGUGUACUCAAACCAGUUAAUCCAGAAAAUUUGUAUUGACGGUCUGCAUUGACGGUUUGGAUUGGUAGAGAGAGAUGCAAUCCAGCCAGAAAAUUUGUAUAGGAUUGGUAGAGGGAUUACUAUCUGCCAUCGAUCUUUAUUUGGAUUCCAGUUAAUGCAGACCGUCGAUGUACGUAUUGCACUGUUUGCCCAGGUAUUACUUAUUUGCAUAACAAUCGGCUCCGCGUCGUAUUCACUAAGCAGCUAUAUUAAGUAGGAAUCUGCAUGCACUGGGAGACAGACUUGAUAUCAUCCUCGCUUGCCGCCAUGUCCCAAAAAUCCACUCUGAUGUAUUUACAUCUCUUGUUUUGCUUGUUUUGUCACUAACUAGCAAUUGUACAUUUGGCUGCAAUCCUACAGGUAUGAGGCAAGAUGGACAUGCAUUGUACUUCUUUCACAAAAAAGUAAACUUAGACAACAAUGAGAAUGACAAAGAUAUCAGCUGGCAAAAAAGUGCCCCCUCUAGAUCUAUUAUCUUGGAUGGGGGUCUACGAGGUUGCAAGGAAACAUUUGCCCUAUACGCCUUCAAGAACAGCCCUCGGAGAACUGAUUGGGAACUACAUCGAUAUUAUAUCAAAAACAUAAUGGAGAAUGAGGGCGAACUAGUGCUUUCAAAGGUAUUCUACAAGUCGCAGAAAGGUCAUUGUGAAUGCGCUGCAAAAGCUUCUCUUCAAUCUGCACAGGUAUUAUUUGUUCUUACUUCCAUUGGUACAUCACAGUUAAAUUUUCUCGUGAGGGGGUGACCAUUAUUAUCUACACCAUUUUCAUCUAGUAUUUUGGUUACACAGUAUCAUCACGCACUGGAAACUGAAAAGUUCCCCUUUCAAGUUGGUGAAAGUGGCACCAUGAAAUUUACACAGUAGUUAAAAAGAAGAAGAAACGAGUUGCUAUUUAUGAUUGUGCUCAACAGUCAAUUAAUGGUGGGUUUCAGUAUUUGACUGUUCACAUCAUAAUUAUAUGCAUAGUUAUUUUUCAAAGAUACCAGGAAUACAUACCAUAGUUACCAGAUUCGCUGGGAGAGGCCUCGAACUCCGAUCUAUAUCGAACGAUCCAGAUCGGAGUUCGAAUUCGCUCGGUUCGAUCUGAAAUCGCUGUCUGAAUUGUCAAACGCCAGCGGGGACUAGAUGGCAGCCUAGACCCGGUGGUUGGCGCAGCAGACGGUGGUCUGGCAGUGGCCAAGAUCCGGUGGCCGGUCUGUCGUUGUCAUGCAACAGCAGCCCCUCCUGCUCUCCGCGGAUGCACGGCGGAGGACAUGCUACUCUCCAUCUACAGGAUUGUGAGCAGGAGGGGAUUACAGGAGAGAUCAGCGGCGACUUCCGGUUGUUGGGAGCUAGCAGGGAGAACGAGCAGCAUACGCCGAAUCGCAUGGAGGCGGUGGCGCUGGCUUAAGCUAG